rnacentral:rRNA from 1 species
GACGAACGCUGGCGGCGUGCUUAACACAUGCAAGUCGAACGGAAAGGCCCUGCUUUUGUGGGGUGCUCGAGUGGCGAACGGGUGAGUAACACGUGAGUAACCUGCCCUUGACUUUGUGAUAACUUCAGGAAACUGGGGCUAAUACCGGCUAGGAGCUCCUGCUGCAUGGUGGUGGUUGGAAAGUUUCGGCGGUUGGGGAUGGACUCGCGGCUUAUCAGCUUGUUGGUGGGGUAGUGGCUUACCCAGGCUUUGACGGGUAGCCGGCCUGAGAGGGUGACCGGCCACAUUGGGCCUGAGGUACGGCCCAGAGUCCUACGGGAGGCAGCAGUGGGGAAUAUUGCACAAUGGGCGGAAGCCUGAUGCAGCAACGCCGGGUGCGGGAUGACGGCUUUCGGGGUGGAAACCGCUUUCGGCUGUGACGAAGCGGGAGUGACGGUACUGGGUGAAGAAGCACCGGCUAACUACGUG